rnacentral:rRNA from 1 species
CCAAUAGCGUAUAUUAAAGUUGUUGCAGUUAAAAAGCUCGUAGUUGAAUUUCGGGAUCAAUAUAUUGGUCAUGCUUAGGUAUGUACUGGUAUUAUUGAUUUCUCCCUUCUGAAGAACCAUAAUGUCAUUAAUUUGAUGUCAUGGGGAAUCAGGACUGUUACUUUGAAAAAAUUAGAGUGUUUAAAGCAGGCUUUCGCUUGAAUACAUUAGCAUGGAAUAA